rnacentral:tRNA from 2 species
GCCCGGGUGGCGGAACUGGUAGACGCGCAAGACUAAGGAUCUUGUGGGGUAAUACCCGUGCUGGUUCGAUUCCAGUUCCGGGCACCA